CAGGUCAGCAUACUGCCGUGAAUACGUUCCCGGGCCUUGUACACACCGCCCGUCACACCAUGAGAGUUGGGGGAUACCCGAAGCCUGUGAGCUAACUUUUAGAGGCAGCAGUCGAAGGUAGAAUCAAUGAUUGGGGUGAAGUCGUAACAAGGUAUC
rnacentral:rRNA from 1 species